UACGUAGGGGGCUAGCGUUGUCCGGAUUUAUUGGGCGUAAAGAGCGUGUAGGCGGCCAGGUAGGUCUGCUGUGAAAACUCGAGGCUCAACCUCGAGACGUCGGCGGAAACCAUCUGGCUAGAGUCCGGAAGAGGAGAGUGGAAUUCCUGGUGUAGCGGUGAAAUGCGCAGAUAUCAGGAAGAACACCCGUGGCGAAGGCGACUCUCUGGGACGGUACUGACGCUGAGACGCGAAAGCGUGGGGAGCAAACAGG
rnacentral:rRNA from 1 species